AUAUUAUAUUCACAUGUUAAAAUGUUUACAUAUUUAAAAAAAAUCAUAGAUUUAGAAAAAAUAUUGUACGCAUAUAAAUAAAUACACAUCACAUGUUUCUUAAAUCUAUACAAAAAUAUAUCCAUGCAUUAAAAAGAUUACGCGUGUUUGAGAAAAAUCAAAGUUUUAAAAAGUUGUCCAAACAUGUAUGAAUAUGCGUCCAUAUAGUGUGAAACAAUGUUCAAUUCCAAAAUGAGGUAAAAACAUAAAUCAAAGAAAAGAAGUAAAAAAAGGUGAAAUUUGCAUUAAAAAAAGAAAGGAAGAAAAGGAAAAUAAAAGGACGAACUAAAAACAGGAAGGAAACGAAAAACAAAAGAAAGAAUGAGUGACACGAGAAACCUCCUAUGUGAGCCAGCUCACUAUCACGGCCCAAAUGAGAUUGCUAUUUUAUUAAUUUUUGUAAGAAAUAUUUUUCAAUAACAUGUUAUUAAAAUAUUAUUAGAGUAACUUUGAAUAUUAAAAAUUAUCACAUAAAUUAGAAAUGUCACCUAUGUACAUAUAGAGGUUCGUAAUUAUUUGAAAAUGUUUGUGUAUACAAAACAAUUAUAUUCACGUAUUUAAAAUUUACAUAUUUUUCAAAAAACAUGGAUAUAGAAAAGGUUCAUAUGUAUAUAACUAACUAUACAUCACAAAAAAAAAUAUACCAAAAAUAUUCAUGCGUUAAAAACUAUUAGAUAUGUUCUAGAAAAUUCAGCAUUUUUUAAAAGUUAUGCAUAUAUGUUUCAUAUAGUGUGAAGUAAAGUUCAAGUCCAAAACGAAGUCUAAAACAUAAAUCAAAGAAAGGAAGUAGAGAGGUGAAAUUUGCAUUAAAAGAUGAAAGGUAGAAAACAAAGAAAGAAAAUGACCAACUGAAAACGGGAAAAAGAGGGAAAACACACACAAAAACCAGCUAAACUGGGAAUGGGCCGGCCGAGGCAUGCGUAACGUUAGAGUUUGAUCAUUUUUUUUGCACAAAAAAAGUAGUUGAACGUAGCAUACAAGAUGCAACACAAUCUUAGGAUGCCCGUCGAUAGCAAUGCCACAUUCUAUAUCAACAGCCGUGGUGCCUUAUUGACACAUAUGGAAGAUUAAUAUCCCACCGAAGAUCAAAAAUUUCUUGGAUGACACGAGAGACUCGAAGCAGAGUGACACGAGACAUAAUGGAUUUAGGAGGCUCGAACCAGAGCGACACGAGAGACCUCCUAUGUGGGUCCGCUCACUAGCAUGACCCAAAUGACAUCACUCUUUUAUUAAUUUGUUCUAUUUCUCAUUUAUGUAAUUAUUUGUUUCAAAAUCAUUUUAUUAAAAUAUUGUCAGAGUAACUUUGAAUAUAAUAAAAAUCAUUACGUAAAUUAUAGAAGGCCACGUAUGUGCAUAUAAAUGUUAUAAUGUAUUGAAAAUGUUGUAUUUACACAAUAUUAUAUUCACAUGUUAAAAGGUUUACAUAUUUUUCAAAAAAAUCAUAGAUUUAGAAAAAAUAUUGUACGCAUAUAAAUAAAUACACAUCACAUGUUUCUUAAAUCUAUACAAAAAAUAUAUCCAUGCAUUAAAAAGAUUACGCGUGUUUGAGAAAAAUCAAAGUUUUAAAAAGUUGUCCAAACAUGUAUGCAUAUGCGUCCAUAUAGUGUGAAACAAUGUUCAAUUCCAAAAUGAGGUAAAAACAUAAAUCAAAGAAAAUAAGUAAAAAGGUGAAAUUUGCAUUAAAAAAAGAAAGGAAGAAAAGGAAAAUGAAAGGACGAACUGAAAACAGGAAGAAAACGAAAAUAAAAAGAAAGAAUGAGUGACACGAGA
rnacentral:lncRNA from 1 species